UACAUUGCAAAUCCCAUCAAAGAGGACAAAGCACUGACCCAGAGCAACUCUGAUCCACAGAGUUCCCACAUGAAAACCUGCAGGACCCAAAUGACCCACUGCAAACAUCCUGCUACUAGGCAUUAAAGGACUUCGCCACAGGUUUCAGGUCCACAUCUCAGUAGGUCAGAGCUGAUGUGGUGGCGCAGGUGGCUCCUACACAGUAUAUGGCAGGUGGCUGUAAUGUUGGGAGAACCAUCAGGAAAAAGGAAUGCCGUAUGAUGAAGUCAAUGGGAAUGGCAAGUUCAAAGAAACCUGAAGAAGAUCAGAAGAUGACACCGGUGCUGCGAUCCAGUAGCCGAGAUGAGGAGCUGUGAAUGUCCACAUGAGUCUUCCAUCUACUGACGCCAC